GGUUUAGUAGCAGCCUUUUGUUGUAACUCCUUCCCUGAUAGUCCUUCCUCUUCUGAACUUUCUUCCUCUUUCUGACUAGAGUUCCUGGGCUUUUAUCAACGUAUGCCCUAACUGUUCUUGGUUUUACUGGGGUGCCUCCUUCCUUUAGCAAUUUACUUAACACCCUUUCGGUUUGAUUUUUCUAACUUCUGAUCCCAUAUUUCCGUAACAAAGACAACACAACACACCAAGAUAAAACAAAACAAAAACACACUGUAUCAAUUUUUUCUGUUUUCUUGAAAUGGCCAUCCGUCCUCUCGCCCUAUCUGCUUCCUCAGGGACGAGCAGCUUUCCUCCCGUCCUAUCUAUUUCUAGGGACGGGCAGCUUACCUUGUCACCUACCCCCGAGCAUCCCGGAGUUCCCCGUACGGGUCACAUUUGCCGCAGUCCGGCUGGGCAAAAUAACCGGGAGGUGAUAAGCAACUUGAAGGUUGAAGCAGGAACUACUUUAUUGCAGAACAGCAGAGGUAUAUAUACCUAACUGAUUACACACAGCUUGACUGAAUUAGCAUCAUCCAGAUACAGCAAUCAGCCAAUAAGGAAUCCCCACCAUCUUAAUGGCACAGUGGCGUUGCCUCACAAACCACUCCUCCUGGCAAACUGCCAGGCACCAUCUUGACUUGAUAGUGGCACCCAACAAAGAUCCCCAUGUCAUGGUAUUUAGGCACACCGUGAAGGCAGGGGGCAUAGGGAGAGCCCCCUGGGCCUGUGCUGAGGUGGGUCUUGAACACACACCUGAGGUGCUGAGUGGGUGUCAGGCAGAGCUGAAUUGUGUCCCCCACAUCCACAGGUUGGAAUCCUGACCUCCAGGACCUCAGAAUGUGACUGUAUCAAGAUAAAAUGUGGUUGUGAGGCUGGCCUCUAAUCUCGAUGCCUGCUGUCCUUAUAAUAAGAGGAAAUCAGGAUAAGAGGCCUCAGAAGAAAUCGACCUACCAAACUUCACUCAGAGAAGGUGGAUUUCUACUCAGUAGUCACAGUAUGUUAUUUUGUUAUGGCAGCUGGGGCAAACUAAUACAGUGCCUGUCUCCUCACUAGUUCUCUUCCAGUGGAGGAGAUAUCCAUGGUCAGUUGGGUGUAAGGGUCUGUGAAUUGGGCCUGAAGUUAGAGCUGUAAAGUCCCCAACAUACAGAUAAAUGGAAUCACCACAGGAUGGGGUCACCCACAGGGCCUCUGCAGAAAAGAGAAGAUGGUCUAUUUCUGCCCCUGAGAAAGGCCCUUCCUUUAGGGUCAGAGAGGCAGGACGGAGUAUAGAUUCCCAUGUCAUGGAAGCCCAGAGGAGAGAUUAGUCAAGGGUAGAGGCUGAGAGGCUAGGGAUAGUAAGAUCAGUACUCAGGACUGGACGUUGGUAUCCCCCAGAGGCACUGUUGAAGCCCCACUGUGUGGUGGUAUUUAGAGGCAGGGCCUUUAGGAGGUAGGUUUAUGUUAGGGUCUGUAAACAAGUCAGGAUGGAGCCUGGCAAAAUGCCAGAGGCAGUGGUUUGUGAAGUAACGCCAGCGAGCCAUUAAGUAUGGAGAUUCCUUAUUGGUUGACUGCUGUAUCUAGUUUAUGUUAAUUAAUAUAAGCUGUGUGGAAUGUAUAUAUACCCCUCCUGUCCUACAAUAAAC
rnacentral:lncRNA from 1 species